CACGACACCUGGCCUGAAGUUCAUUUUUUACCAGAUUAAAAUACAUUGUUGUAUCUUUUAGAGGUUUUAUAUAAUCCCCAAGGUAACCCCAAGAAUACGUUUGCGUAAGUACACAAAACAAAUGAGAAAGAAGUAAAAGCAUACCAAGAUAAGUACAACAAAGACACAAAGACAGAAAAAGAGAAAAUGAGGAACAAAGAUACAAGAAGCAAAUACAACAAUUAACAAAAUAACAAUAGUAAGUCUGCAUAAGUGGAGAAAAAUAAAAUUCUUUUCAGACAAGCAAAUGCUGAGGGAGCACAUCACCACCAGGCCUGCCUUGCUAGAGCUCCUGAAAGAAGCACUAAGGUUAAGAAGAAAAAACCAUUACCAGCCAUUGCAAAAACACACUGAAGUACAAAGAUCAAUUAUGCUAUAAAACAACUACAUCAACAACUCUGCAAAAUAAGCAGCUAGCACUACUUGGACAGAAUCAAAAUCACACAUAAAAAUACUAACCUUAAAUGUAAUAGGCUGAAUACCUCAACUGAAAGACACAGAAGGGCAAGCUGGAUAAAGAGUCAUGACACAGUUUGGGACCAGCCUGACCAACAUAGUGAAACCCCAUCUCUACUAAAAAUACAAAAAAUUAGCUGGGUGUGGUGGUGGGCGCCUGUAAUCCCAGCUACUCAAAAUCCCGCAACUACAACGAAACUGAACAACCUACUCCUGAAUGAAUUUCCUGAAUGAACAACUUGCUCCUCUUUAUUUCUGGGUAAAUAAUACAACUAAAUCAGAAAUCAAAAAAUUAUUUGAAACCAAUGAGAAUGAAGAGACAAUGUAGCCGGGCGUGGUGGCUCACACAUGUAAUCCCAGCACUUUGGGAGGCUGAGGCGGACAGAUCACCUGAGGUCGGGAGUUCGAGACCAGCCUGACCAAUAUGGUGAAACCCCGUCUCUACUAAAAAUAUAAAAAUUAGCCUUGCUUGGUGGCCGGCACCUGUAGUCCCAGCUACAUGGGAAGCUGAGGCAGGAGAAUUGCUUGAACCUGGGAGGCGGAGGUUGCAGUGAGCCGAGAUCACACCACUACACUCCAGCCUGGGGUCAGAGCGAGACUCCGUCUCAAAAAAA
rnacentral:lncRNA from 1 species